AUUGAACGCUGGCGGCAGGCCUAACACAUGCAAGUCGAGCGGAUGAGUGGAGCUUGCUCCAUGAUUCAGCGGCGGACGGGUGAGUAAUGCCUAGGAAUCUGCCUGGUAGUGGGGGACAACGUUUCGAAAGGAACGCUAAUACCGCAUACGUCCUACGGGAGAAAGUGGGGGAUCUUCGGACCUCACGCUAUCAGAUGAGCCUAGGUCGGAUUAGCUAGUUGGUGAGGUAAAGGCUCACCAAGGCGACGAUCCGUAACUGGUCUGAGAGGAUGAUCAGUGACACUGGAACUGCGACACGGUCCAAACUCCUAUGGGAGGCAGCAGUGGGGAAUAUUGGACAAUGGGCGAAAGCCUGAUACAGCCAUGCCGCGUGUGUGAAGAAGGUCUUCGGAUUGUAAAGCACUUUAAGUUUGGAGGAAGGGCAGUAAGUUAAUACCUUGCUGUUUUGACGUUACCAACAGAAUAAGCACCGGCUAACUUCGUGCCAGCCGCCGCCGUAAGAC
rnacentral:rRNA from 1 species